UCAUAGAAUUUCUUUAAAUUCAUGAUGUCGUAAGGGAAAAUAAUGAUAAUACCUUACUAUGAGUGUCGUCCAAAACUGGUGCCAGAAGACUCGGUAAGACCAGAGACGCAAACGUUAAUCAUCAUAAACAGGCGUAAAGGGUUUGUAGGCAGCUUUUAUAGGGUUAUAUUAUUUUGAAAAAAAUAGUGUAAUCUUCAUUGAAAGCUAGAAUCAAAAAGAGGUUAUAGUGUAUAACGCCUAGAGGAGGGCUGAUAUCCAUAGAUCCUAGGCAGAAUACUCAGGGCGAAGGCCACUCUCCACUAAUGAUUGACGCUGAGAAACGAAGGUUAGGGUAGGAAAUAGGAUUAGAUACCCCGGUACUCCUUUCUGUAAACGAUGAAUGGUAGUCAUUAGUUAAAUUAAAUAACUAGAGGCGAAGUUAACACAAUAACCAUUCCGCCUUGUGAGUACUACUGCAAAGUAGAAAACAAAAAAAUUAGUCGGUCUCGAAGCAAACGGAGUGAAGCAUGUUAUUUA
rnacentral:rRNA from 1 species